GCAGAGGCUUUAACCCACUGAGCCACCCAGGUGCCCCCAGAAAAGCUUUUUAAAAAUGCAGGGUCCUGAGCCCCACACCAUGCAGUCUUCUCCGGGAGUGAGGCCCAGACUUCAAUAUUUUUUAAAACCUCCGCAAGUAGUUCUGACAUCCGUUUGUGCGCGUGAGAACCAGUAGUUUUGAAGUAAAUCCAUUUUUUUAAGUUGGUCUUCUGUGCAUUUGCUAAUAGGACAAAGGGAGAGUACAGUGCCCUCUGGUUGUUCCUACAGCGUGCCGUAGGCUUCUGAGCGGAGUGUCGGCCUUCCCCACCUUGUUGGUUUUCCUGGAACCCCUCCGAUGUGAUCCUUUCCCGCCCGCUUUCCGCCAUCUGUUCUCAGAGGCUCCUUUACACUCGUCUGUGCAAACCCUCCCAAAGCUCGUCCGCAGGCCCGGGAUGGUCCCGCUGCCGACACUCGGCUCUGGCACUUCGGAGAGAGUCUUGGUGGGUUUUUGGAAAGGACCCUUGAGAUCCAAAUCACUGAUUUCGGUGGCAGUCCGCCACGGCUGUGGGUCACCGAGGCAGUGUGCGUUCGGUGGGUGGAGGCAAGAAAUACAUGCCCGUCUUCCCCCAGACCCGUCGUCCGCCUGCGUGCAUUUACUCACGUGUACACUGUGUACCUUCUGCAUGACUGUGCGGUAGAUGUGUUCUGAAGCAGUAAGUGACUCUUGGGGUGCUCAGCCUCGCCCUGGAUUUGAUUGGGGGUCCACAUCCCUGGCUGUAAGCCAUGGACGCACUGUCCUAAUGGCCAGUGACGCGUGCUUUCCAGAAAGAUCACAUGGUUCGGAAACAAGGCAAGCUUCCGUGGGUCUUCCUCCCGAGUCAGGAGCCAGACCACCUGCUAUUUUGGUACCACAAAGUAGACGGUUACAUUUACUUUUUAAAUCACAAAAGUCUCUAAAAUGCGGAAUUUGUAUUUCCGCUGGCCUCAUAGGCUCUCGAGUGUGCGUUCACUGUCAAGGGCAAGUGUCAUCAGUGGGUUUUCCAUAGAAACGAGGUGCUGUGGGGACGCGGCCAGACAGGCUUCAGAGAUGGAGAUUCAAGUGCCGUUUUGAAGAGGGAAACUCAAUGUUGUCAGGCUAGUCUGUUCUCUACAGGGCGUAAUUUUGCAGGGGAGAAGCUGUAUGGUGUUUUCAUCCCAACCUCUAGCCAAAUAAAGAUUUUGCAACACCAA